rnacentral:rRNA from 1 species
AAGCAGAGGGGGCUUAGUGGUGGGGUGACUGCGUACCUUUUGUAUAAUGGGUCAGCGACUUAUAUUCUGUAGCAAGGUUAACCGAAUAGGGGAGCCGGAGGGAAACCGAGUCUUAAUUGGGCGUUAAGUUGCAGGGUAUAGACCCGAAACCCGGUGAUCUAGCCAUGGGCAGGUUGAAGGUUGGGUAACACUAACUGGAGGACCGAACCGGCUAAUGUUGAAAAAUUAGCGGAUGACCUGUGGCUGGGGGUGAAAGGCCAAUCAAACCGGGAGAUAGCUGGUUCUCCCCGAAAGCUAUUUAGGUAGCGCCUCGUGAAUUCAUCUCCGGGGGUAGAGCACUGUUUCGGCUAGGGGGCCAUCCCGGCUUACCAACCCGAUGCAAACUGCGAAUACCGGAGAAUG